GGCGUUAACGAACGAGACCUUAACCUGCUAAAUAGCCCGACCCGCAUCCGCGGGCCGCUGGCUUCUUAGAGGGACUAUCGGCUCAAGCCGAUGGAAGUUUGAGGCAAUAACAGGUCUGUGAUGCCCUUAGAUGUUCUGGGCCGCACGCGCGCUACACUGACGGGGUCAACGAGUAUAAUCCUUGGCCGAAAGGUCUGGGUAAUCUUGUUAAACCCCGUCGUGCUGGGGAUAGGGCAUUGCAAUUAUUGUCCUUCAACGAGGAAUUCCUAGUAAGCGCAAGUCAUCAGCUUGCGUUGAUUACGUCCCUGCCCUUUGUACACACCGCCCGUCGCUAUUACCGAUUGAAUGGGUU
rnacentral:rRNA from 1 species